CCUGAAACAACAUUCUAAUGGGAAAAAGCCCUCUGUCCAGUUCACACCUGGGUCCUAGAAACAUUCAGUGUAUAAUGCUGAACCCUUCUUGUAUGCAUGUCACCUUCUGCUUUCUAGGUGCUGCUAAGGAUCCUUCUCUCGCAUUGAGCAAGAGGCAGAAGUGGAAAAGCUUGGUUACUGCCUGGUAGUCAAUCAAAAAUGUUGUCUUAUGGGGAUGUUUUGUUUAAAAUGUCACCAAGGACACUGAGGAGUUAAAUGUAAGUUUCUGCAUCACACUUUGAUGCUUCCUCUCUACUCUUAGUCUCCUUGGUAACACAAUCAGGAAGAUGUUCUCCUUUUGUUCUCUUGCCUUGGUCUUGGUAGAGAUCUUGUUGUGGUCCAUUUCAUGCCUAUGUUUUUUUCCCUCAGUGGUGGGAGGUUUGGUUUGGCGUCUGUUGUCAGUCUUUGAUGUUGAGAACAAGGAGGAAGAUGAAGAAAUGUCUCAUGUAUAAGCAGCAUCCAUUAAUUUGAGUUAAGGGGGAAUGAGAGAGUCCCUUCCGCUGCCCCUUUUCCCCCUCAUCAACCCUUCUCCUUGCCUGGCUGACCUGUGGGAUUGCAGAAGUAUAUCACCUUGUUCUUUCUGGUAGGAGGGGUCUUUGGGAUCUCGACAAUCUCUUCUCACAUAUGCAAACACAUCUGCCAAUGAAAUGUUGAGAAAAAGACUGAGAACGUCUGUUUUUGUUUGUUGGAUGUCUUUAAUGGAAACAAACGAAUCCUUUUAUGCAGCUGAAGCUUACAGACAUUGAGAACUACUCCUUGAAUUACUGUCUUUAAAUCCAUGCUGUCCUCUUAUCCCAUUGGCUCUCGCCUCUAUUCAGUAGAUCACCUAAUAGGCAUCUGAGCAAUGACACGUCUUCUGAUCUUGUUGACACAGUAGGUUUGGGGCAUAUUAAUGAAACAUUUUCAUCAUUUCUAAGACCUUAAUAUGUUAGCAGUAUGGCCAUCUCCAUGAGGGGGUGGGUUACAGUAAGUACAAAGAGUAGGCAGGUAAGUGUUCUAAUCUUGUAUUCGUCUGAUGCUGGAUUAUGUGUUUUGAUUUGUUUGAUCUAUUUCUGCAUAUACGGCACAAAGCUGGCAACUACUGCAAAUGGCACCCUGUUUUUUUCACUUCUCUUGGUACUCGGGACUGUCUGGGUUUUUUUCUCCAACUGCCCACCCUUCCCCCACCCCCUCACCCACCCUGGAACUGUCAUAUGAUGCCUGAUUUACUAGAGUGCUGGCUAUAAAUAUCAUUUUAGCUCACCCAGUUUUAAUGAUUGUGUUGAUCUAUAAAACAUUGUGUUCUGCAUAUUCUACCAGAAAAUGACAUCAUUUGGUGAAGUCUUGAAUGUUUCACCCCUGUUUGUGCAAUAGAUUGUCUUACCUUGUUUUUUUUUUCAGUUUGGGGGAAUAAAGACUUGUGGGUAACGAUAAACCUGAUCUUUCUAGCUGUAUAUCCUUAACCUGGAAUAAAACUUGCUUUAUUCUCACAAA